GGGGAAUAUUGCGCAAUGGGGGAAACCCUGACGCAGCAAUACCGCGUGAGUGUAGAAGGCUUUCGGAUCGUAUAGCUCAGUUAUUGGGGAAGAAAAAAAGACGGUACCCAAGAAGAAAGUCCCGGCUAACUACGUGCCAGCAGCCGCGGUAAUACGUAGGGGACAAGCGUUGUCCGGAUUUACUGGGCGUAAAGGGUGUGCAGGCGGAUAUUUAAGUGAGAUGUGAAAGACCCGGGCUUAACCCGGGCAGUGCAUUUCAAACUGGAUAUCUACAGUGCAGGAGAGGAGAACGGAAUUCCUAGUGUAGCGGUGAAAUGCGUAGAGAUUAGGAAGAACACCAGCGGCGAAGGCGGUUCUCUUGACUGUAACUGACGCUGAGGCACGAAAGCGUGGCUAGCAAACA
rnacentral:rRNA from 2 species